AUUGAACGCUAGCGGGAUGCCUUACACAUGCAAGUCGAACGGAGUGGCGAACGGGUGAGUAAUGUAUCGGAACGUGCCCAGUAGCGGGGGAUAACUACGCGAAAGCGUAGCUAAUACCGCAUACUAUUGGAGCGGCCGAUAUCGGAUUAGCUAGUUGGUGGGGUAACGGCUCACCAAGGCGACGAUCCGUAGCUGGUUUGAGAGGACGACCAGCCACACUGGGACUGAGACACGGCCCAGACUCCUACGGGAGGCAGCAGUGGGGAAUUUUGGACAAUGGGGGAAACCCUGAUCCAGCCAUCCCGCGUGUGUGAAGAAGGCCUUAGGGUUGUAAAGUACUUUCAGUCGGGAGGCGUUACCGACAGAAGAAGCACCGGCUAACUCCGUGCCAGCCGCCGCGGUAAUUC
rnacentral:rRNA from 1 species